rnacentral:sRNA from 1 species
UAUUAAUAUUGGUUGAGUUAUUCGCAGUUUCGUGAGACACGUUUUCUCAGACGCGAAUUGGGACCAGCGGAGAUUGAAACUAAGAUCGUGGUCUCGUCUGUUUUCCGAUCGGCACGAGAUUUUGUGGGCAGCUUUGUGACGUCUGCGGAUAAGAUUUCACCGGAGCGAUUGAAUAGUAA